UACGAAGGGGGCUAGCGUUGUUCGGAAUUACUGGGCGUAAAGCGCACGUAGGCGGAUACUUAAGUCAGGGGGUGAAAUCCCGGGGCUCAACCCCGGAACUGCCUUUGAUACUGGGUAUCUCGAGUCCGGAAGAGGUGAGUGGAAUUCCGAGUGUAGAGGUGAAAUUCGUAGAUAUUCGGAGGAACACCAGUGGCGAAGGCGGCUCACUGGUCCGGUACUGACGCUGAGACGCGAAAGCGUGGGGAGCGAACAGG
rnacentral:rRNA from 1 species